rnacentral:tRNA from 1 species
CGCGGGGUAGAGUAGUGGUUACUCACCGGCCUCAUAAGCCGUUUACGUUGGUUCGAAUCCAACCCCCGCAACCA